GUUUAUAACCCAAGGAGAGAAGCGACUGAGAUAGUUUUGAGUACCAUUGUCUACUGGCUGGCUUUAAACCAUAUAGAGACUUUGUAAGUGACAUACUUGAUUAGGUUUAGUUGUAGAAAAGCCUGGAAGUAAUUCCAUGUAGACUUCCUCAUGCAAAUCUCCAUGGAGAAAUGCAUUAUUAACAUCUAGCUGCUGCAAGUGCCAAUUAGAAGCUGCUGCA
rnacentral:misc_RNA from 1 species